GAAAGCGAAAAAGGGUUCCGAGGGAAGCGGUACAGAGAAUUGAGAGGAUGGGGUGUGUAAGGUGAUGGAGAAAAUUGAAAUAAUAGACAAGAAAGAGAAAGUGUGGGAAUGGGGUAAAAAAAGAGAGACAUGCAAGAGACAGGGUAUUAAUGACCUACAGUCAUGUGAUGUGAUAAAGAAGCUACGUCAAUCUAAUAACCCUCACUAUGGGCUAGAUUCAAUGUGCGCUAUAGCGUGAUUGACAUUUAAAGUCAAUUGCUUCUACGUUCGCGUAGACUGCAAUCACAUGAAAGGCUGCAUGUUGGUUUAAUCUGAAAUGACUUUUACAUUUCAACCACGUUACAAUACAGAUCUUCCAGGCUUUGGAUUGAACCGAGGAAAAACAAAAAGGAACACAUCCAUGAAAUCCUGAGUCAAGCACUUGGCUACACGGUACACCAGAAACAUCCGUGAAUAACAGGGACAACACGCUGAAACGACACUUGGCUACACGGUACACCAGAAACAUCCGUGAAUAACAGGGACAACACGCUGAAACGACACUUGGCUACAUGGUACACCAGAAACAUCCGUGAAUAACAGGGACAACACGCUGAAACGACACUUGGCUCUACAUCCACCCUGAUUACAUCUACCUUGACUCUACUUGUUUGUUUAUCUGAGAAAUCCUCAUCACAUUAUCCUGAUACUCUGACAGUUAAAAGGGGUCAGUGAUUGGCCAAUUAUUUAUUUUCAAGUGGAAACCACUUUUUCAGAUUGGAAAACAUCAGACAGCCUACAGCUGUCUCUUAGCUGACCUCUUAGAUCAGGGUAGUCAAAUUAAUUUUGCCCCGGGGGCCGCAUUCAGUCUUCAGCGAGGUCAGAUCGACUAUGGCAAUGCACUGUUUGAUGGCCUCCCAGCCACAUCACUAUAUAGGCUCCAACUUAUCCAGAACAGUGCUGCCAGGUUCCUGGCCAGGACCAAGAAGUCAGACCACAUCACCCCAAUCCUGGCCCAACUCCACUGGCUACAAGAUCGGCUACAAAAUCCUCCUGCUUGUAUUUAAAGCCUUGAAUGGAUUUAGCGCCACCUACAUCAGCGACCUCAUCUCAAUCAGCAAGCAACCUAGCACUCUCUGCUCAAGCCACUCUUUACUGCUUCAAGACCCCAAAAUAAGCCUUCUGAAUAUGGAGGACCGAGCCUUGUGCUCCUUGCCAAUCACCUAUUGAAUGCUCUCCCUGACCAUCUGAGAGCUCACUCUGAACUUUUAAAACGGGCCUUAAAACCCACUUCUACAGAAUGUAUUUUUUAUAGUGCUAGUCCCAAUAUAAAAUGUAUUUAGCACCUAGCCCAGUAUUGCUAUUUUAUCUGCCUUGAUUCUAAAUGUGUUUUUUUUUUUGGCAACGGUAACCAGGAGGCUGUUAUCCUCAUCAGAGCCAUCUAUAACCUCAUGAUGAGCAGCCCAAUUCUGAUCGUUUGCCACUAAUUGGUCUUUUGACCGAUCAGAUCAAAUCUUAUGCCAAUAAUUGGGCAAAAUAUCAGAAUUGGGCUGUCUGUGUAAACGCAGUCAUGGAGACGUAAACAAACAGAUUGCCUGUUGGAAGGGGAGGGGAAGCUUUACACCACUCUAGCCAACUCUUGGCAUUACGCAUGGUGACCUUAGGCUUGUGCGCGGCUGCUCGGCUGUGGAAACCCAUUUCAUGAAGCUCCCGACUAACCGUUCUUGUGCUGACAUUUUGUGUGGCCUACCACUUUGCAGUAAAUAUACUGUUGUGGAAAUUCUUACACAGGGACACUCGAAGUCAAUCUUAAAUGAAUCAUUGUUUAUUGUCAGCGUGCUGGAGAGGUUCCAACCAACUCAAUGCACCAUAGUACACAUGUCAAUCAGGAGCUCUGCCUGGGCAGUCCCAGCAGUUGUCAUAUAUAUGGCUAUACACAGACAAGUUAUAUUUGCAUGAGUUAGCAUAAUUCAUUAAUCAUUAUCAUUUUGUUUCAUUCAUGUGACAGACCAAUACUGGUUCUUAACAUGUGACAGACCAAUACCUCACGGGGCUUCUUUUCCCUAAGCUGAGACCUUGAAACGGACAUAUCUUUUGUUCUCUCUCAAAACAAGGUCUGGGCGUACUGCCAAAUUGUAGCUAGUGAUAGUGAGGAUUUGCACAGUUAGCCACUUGCAUGAACACAGAAAUUGGUUUAUAGAACAGCACAUGAAUAGAACACAGAAAUGAGUUAUAAGAAAAGCACAAACUUUAAAAUUCCAUUACAGUACUAUAUGUGGAAGAGGUGACUUUCACAACCACAGCUUAUAAACAUGAUUAUAUUUAGUUAUGUUAACCAUGCUUUUUCAGAAAAUACAUGUGUGUGUGUAUAACAGAGAAA